GAUGAACGCUGGCGGCGUGCCUAAUACAUGCCAGUCGAGCGAACAGACGAGGAGCUUGCUCCUCUGACGUUAGCGGCGGACGGGUGAGUAACACGUGUAUAACCUCCCUGUAAGACUGGUAUAACUUCGGAACACCGGCGCUAAUACCGUAUAAUAUCUUGCACCGCAUGGUUCAAUAGUGAAAGACGGUUGUGCGGUCACUACUAGAUGGAUCCGCGCCGCAUGAGCUAGUUGGUAAGGUAACGGCUUACCAAGGGAACGAUGCGUAGCCGAACUGAGAGGGUGAUAGGCGACACUGGAACGGAGACACGGUCCAUACGCCUACGGGAGGCAGCAGUAGGGAAUCUGCCGCAAUGGGCGAAAGCUUGACGGAGCAACGCCGAGUGAGUGAUGAAGGUCUUCGGAGCGUAAAAAUCUGUUACGAGGGAAGAACAAAUGUGUAAGUAACUAUGCACUUCUUGACGGUACCUAAUCAGAAAGCCACGGCUAACUACGUG
rnacentral:rRNA from 1 species